rnacentral:rRNA from 1 species
ACGGGAGGCAGCAGUGAGGAAUAUUGGUCAAUGGACGGAAGUCUGAACCAGCCAAGUCGCGUGAAGGAAGACGGUUCUAUGGAUUGUAAACUUCUUUUGUCCGAGGGUAAAGUGAGAGAUGCGUCUCUUAUUGCAAGUAUCGGACGAAUAAGCAUCGGCUAACUCCGUGCCAGCAGCCGCGGUAAUACGGAGGAUGCGAGCGUUAUCCGGAUUUAUUGGGUUUAAAGGGUGCGUAGGCGGAUGAUUAAGUCUGUGGUGAAAGCGUGCGGCUCAACCGUACCGAGCCAUGGAAACUGGUUGUCUUGAGUGUAAACGAGGUAGGCGGAAUGUGACAUGUAGCGGUGAAAUGCUUAGAUAUGUCACAGAACUCCGAUUGCGAAGGCAGCUUACCAGCAUACAACUGACGCUGAGGCACGAAAGCGUGGGGAUCGAACAGGAUUAGAUACCCUGGUA